UGGGGAAUAUUGCACAAUGGGCGCAAGCCUGAUGCAGCCAUGCCGCGUGUGUGAAGAAGGCCUUCGGGUUGUAAAGCACUUUCAGCGAGGAGGAAGGUGGUGAGCUUAAUACGCUCAUCAAUUGACGUUACUCGCAGAAGAAGCACCGGCUAACUCCGUGCCAGCAGCCGCGGUAAUACGGAGGGUGCAAGCGUUAAUCGGAAUUACUGGGCGUAAAGCGCACGCAGGCGGUUUGUUAAGUCAGAUGUGAAAUCCCCGGGCUCAACCUGGGAACUGCAUUUGAAACUGGCAAGCUAGAGUCUCGUAGAGGGGGGUAGAAUUCCAGGUGUAGCGGUGAAAUGCGUAGAGAUCUGGAGGAAUACCGGUGGCGAAGGCGGCCCCCUGGACGAAGACUGACGCUCAGGUGCGAAAAGCGUGGGGAGCAAAACAGGAUUAGAUACCCUGGUAGUCCACGCUGUAAAACGAUGUCGAUUUGGAGGUUGUGCCCUUGAGGCGUGGCUUCCGGAGCUAACGCGUUAAAUCGACCGCCUGGGGAGUACGGCCGCAAGGUUAAAACUCAAAUGAAUUGAC
rnacentral:rRNA from 1 species